CACUAAGAAGCUUUUACGGCCCAAGCGUUAGCCUUUUAAGCUAAAGACUGGUGGCUACCAACCACCCCUAGUGA
rnacentral:tRNA from 1 species